UGUAAGCGUAUACCAAAGUUGUUGCAGUUAAAACGCUCGUAGUCGGACUUUGGCAGUUCCGGAUGUGUGCACGUCGUGUGCGCACUUCGCGGGGAUUGCUUUUGUGGUCUUGCGUAGGAUGAGGCACUUUUAUUAGUGAACGUCCUCACGCAACCACUUUUUACUGUGAGAAAAUCAGAGUGCUCAAAGCAGGCAUUUGCCGUGAAUGUAUUAGCAUGGAAUAAUAGAAUAGGACUUGGUUCUAUUUUGUUGGUUUGUUGGGACUGAGUAAUGAUUAAGAGGGACAGUUGUGGGCAUUUGUAUUUCGGUGCUAGAGGUGAAAUUCUUAGAUUACCGAAAGACAAACUGCUGCGAAAGCGUCUGCCAAGGAUGUUUUCAUUGA
rnacentral:rRNA from 1 species